rnacentral:tRNA from 1 species
GGGGCUGUAGCUCAGUUGGGAGAGCGCUUGAAUGGCAUUCAAGAGGUCGAGGGUUCGACUCCCUUCAGCUCCACCA